GUAGCGCCAACAGCGCCGAUUGCUCCAAACUCCAAUCCGGCGCCAGUCUCCCUUCGAGAAGAAGAUGCAACGGAAGGGGAGAUACUUUUCUAGAAUUUUUCUCCAUUUUACUCGAAGUUUCCUGGAAAUUAUUAUCCCGAAAGAUUCUCGUGAAUAUGAAAGAUCUAUGUCGAGGAUCUAUGAUGAUGACAAUGAUGAUGACACUCGGAAAGUUUGAAAUAUAGGUAUAUGGUAUAUGGUUCGCUGUAUAACAAAAGGUUAUCCACCAGCGAGAGAGAGUGCUAGCGGUGCAGUUACCAGCCAUUCCGUGAUUCCUGAGUGAGAAGAGUGGGGUUAGGAAUUUUACUCUUGUGAAAGGUCAACUUCAAAUCGAUCGUUCAAGGAUACAUUUUACGAACUGUGUCCUGAGAGGAUUUUGUAAUAUCUCGAUACGUUGCAAAAAAAAUGACGCAUCAAAACGGCCACACAUAGUGCACGCCUUGUUUAUCGUCCAGAGAUUUAUACAAAAUGACAUCAGCGCGAAACCUUUCCUUUGAAGACUGACUGUUAGAAUGACUCUUUCAUCCGGUCGAGCAGUUAGCAACAGAGAUGGAAAUUUACAAUAUCGAUUGUUUACUAUCGUCGCUCGAUUAACAGCCAAAAUCUCCAUCAAAUAUUAGACCCACCCAAUAAACAAUGUGAGAUAAGAAGCGACGCCAUCGUACUUGAAAGGAUGCCGAUAAAACAGAAGGUGGAGGAGAAGGGGAAAGAGGAAGCAUAAACAGAUGACGAUCGAAUUUCGAGGAACUGUAAAAUAAGCCAAGUGCGUCCCGUCUGUUACGUAAACAUAAGAGCUGGUAGACCAAGGAAAAAAAAACAUUGGCUCGGUAUGCGAGGAAAGGAGGAAUGCGGGACACUUUCCAUGAUCUGGUCGGGGACCUGGCCUAGGAAAUGCAAUUCGUGGAUUAAUGAUUAUCGAGAUAAGGCGAGAGACGAAAAAGUGAAAAUCACACAUACCCGCGUCCCGAAUCGGCCUGCCUGCUGCGAAUCGACGACGACACGGCUUUGUCCUUCGGCCCGACCGCUCUCUCUUUUCCCUGAUUACGUCCCGUUUCGCGAGUGUGUCGCGCGGGCGCGGAUGUGUCUUCGCCGUCGUGUGAUUUAUCGAGCGAAUUUUCUUCGGGGGAAAAAUAUACGCGUACUUUUUUUAAACGCGACGAGUUUGUCCCGACGACGACGACGCGCGAUGUAGAGCUGGGGAGCGCGAGUAAACGAAUACCACGGCCUCACGGACGUAGCGGCGAAGCAGCUGCUCUCACUCGGGGGGAACGGGCACAAAAGCGUACGCGGUAUCGUGUAUAGAUUGUACUAUAGCUGGGACGAUUACGCGCUAUAUACGAUGCACGCUCGGCGCGGUGACUAUAGCUGUCAGUGACGGCGUCGCGGUUCCCGAGAUCCCCGGCCACGCGUGAGAGAGGUGUUGUAUUUAAAAAAACCUCGAUUCCUCUGUCGACGACCUGUCCCACCACAGGGCAUCCCCACCGAGAAUUUUACUUGAGAAUCUUGAGAUAUCAUUCUUACGAAAUUCUACGACGCAGGAAAUUCUUGCGCGUUUUGUU